UUCGGGCGACAGGUGGCGCAAGGAGACGGUGAAGACGCUGCUGAAGAAGUGGCACGUGCACGCCCGGAAGCCGCGCGAGAAGGAGGCGGCGGAGCUGACGCUGUCGUACGACCUGACUGCGCUUGUUGCGCGUGCC